GCUCCGGCCGGGACCUUCCCUCUGUGGAACCCCAUGCCCUUCACUGGGUGUGGCGGGGAAACAGGACUUUUACUGUGAAAAAAUUAGAGUGCUCCAGGCAGGCCUAUGCUCGAAUACAUUAGCAUGGAAUAAUAGAAUAGGACGUGUGGUUCUAUUUUGUUGGUUUCUAGGACCGCCGUAAUGAUUAAUAGGGACAGUCGGGGGCAUCAGUAUUCAAUUGUCAGAGGUGAAAUUCUUGGAUUUAUUGAAGACUAACUACUGCGAAAGCAUUUGCCAAGGAUGUUUUCAUUAAUCAGGAACGAAAGUUAGGGGAUCGAAGACGAUCAGAUACCGUCGUAGUCUUAACCAUAAACUAUGCCGACUAGGGAUCGGACGGUGUUAUUUUUUGACCCGUUCGGCACCUUACGAGAAAUCAAAGUGCUUGGGCUCCAGGGGGAGUAUGGUCGCAAGGCUGAAACUUAAAGAAAUUGACGGAAGGGCACCACCAGGGUGGAUGCCUGCGGCUUCAUU
rnacentral:rRNA from 1 species